GACGAACGCUGGCGGCGUGCUUAACACAUGCAAGUCGAACGAAGUGGCGAACGGGUGAGUAACGCGUAAUCAACCUGCCCUUCAGAGGGGGACAACAGUUGGAAACGACUGCUAAUACUGCAUAUUGAAGGAGGGGAUUGCGUCUGAUUAGCUAGUUGGAGGGGGAACGGCCCACCAAGGCGAUGAUCAGUAGCCGGUCUGAGGGGGUGAGCGGCCACAUUGGGACUGGGACACGGCCCAGACUCCUACGGGAGGCAGCAGUGGGGAAUCUUCCGCAAUGGGCGAAAGUCUGACGGAGCAACGCCGCGUGAGUGAUGAAAGGCUUCGGGUUGUAAAGCUCUGUUAAUCGGGACGCGGUACCGGAAUAGAAAGCCACGGCUAACUACGUGCCAGCAGCCGCGGUAAUAC
rnacentral:rRNA from 1 species